rnacentral:rRNA from 1 species
GACGAACCGAGCGAACGUUGUUCGGAAUCACUGGGCUUAAAGGGCGCGUAGGCGGGCUGUCAAGUCUGGGGUGAAAUCCCGCGGCUCAACCGCGGAACUGCCUCAGAUACUGACGGCCUCGAGGGAGAUAGGGGCGAGCGGAACUAAUGGUGGAGCGGUGAAAUGCGUUGAUAUCUACAGGAACUCCGGUGGCGAAAGCGGCGCGCUGGACCUCUUCUGACGCUGAGGCGCGAAAGCUAGGGGAGCAAACGGG